ensembl:misc_RNA 7SK 7SK RNA
AGAUGUGAGCAUGAAACAGCUACUACAUCUGUCACCCCAUGGGUCACCAAGGUUGGCUCGGCUAAUCUGGCCGGUGAGGCAGUGUCCCUUUCCUCCUUCAUUACUCCAUGUAUGUCCCUCCUGUGGCUGUGCUCUCUGAUGCAGAGGAUGGAGACCUCUCUGGGGAGAGAAGGACUGGUCUUCAGUCAAGGGUACACAAGUAGCUGUGUUCCCACGCUAGAACCUCCAGACAAGCUCUCAAAGACACCAAACUGAAAGUCUCACGUGCACAUAAAAGUCUGCUGCCAGUGAGUCCACCUCAACUCCACUCACAGAAGUCUACCAGCAUGCAAGGC